ACGGUGCAUACCCGAACUAAACUGUACACAUAUAUUUAAAAUAUAUCAAGCAUGCAAUAACUGUGUCUAAGUACGAAGUAGAUUUAAUUGAGUCUUAAAUUGAGACAGGGAACUAACGUUUGCAACUGAGCUGUUCAAAUUGUUGAAGUCCAUCGAAGCGUAGUAAGUCGGUCUAAGUUUACCCCAGUUCGUGUUGGCUUUUGGAAGAUGAAGGUUGUUGCAGGAUCUUGUGUUGUAGGAAUGAAUACAGUUGUUAGUUGUUAGUUUAAAGUCAAAAUCUAACAGUCCAUCAGUACAUUUGUAGAUGAAGAUACAGCGAUGUUUAUAUCUGCGGGAGGAGAGAGGUAACGAAUGAAGGGUAGCGAGGGCUUCGGUCGCUGAAGAGAAAGGAGGAAGAUCUAGAAUCAAUUUAGCGGCUUUAUUUUCCAAAGUCUGCAAACUGUUCAUGAGUCCAGUGUUGUUCUUGUCACCCCAAAUAAUGUCUGCGUAGUCAAAUAACGGUAGAAUUGUAGCUGUAUAGAAAAUUAAUCAUGCAUUUAAUGGUAGUAAUGAUUUGACUCGGCGUAAUAUUCCAAGUCUUUGAUUGAUCUUGUCAUCAAGUUCUCGAUAUAUUCAUUCCAGGAGAGAUUUUCACUGAUCGUGAUACCCAGGUAUUCCAAUGCGUGAUCUUGAUUAAUCUUUCGAUCGUAGAUAGUGAUGUUGAGGCUAGAGAUUGUUUUUAAACGUUGUCUACCAGCAAAGAUUAUAAAUUUCGUCUUGUCAUGAUUGAGUGUUAGGAGGUUGUGGUUCAGAUAAGUGGAGAGGGAUUGAAGGUCGGAGUUGAGUUUUGACUGAAGUUCUGAGAUAUUGUCUGCAGAAUAGUAAAGAAGCGUAUCAUCAGCAUAGGGUAUCGACUUGCAGUGUUUGAGGCAUUCAGGUAGGUCAUUAAUGUAAAUUAGGAAGAGAAGAGGUCCGAGAAUACUUCCC